rnacentral:rRNA from 1 species
GACGAACGCUGGCGGCGUGCUUAACACAUGCAAGUCGAACGGAAAGGCCCUGCUUUUGUGGGGUGCUCGAGUGGCGAACGGGUGAGUAACACGUGAGUAACCUGCCCUUGACUUUGGGAUAACUUCAGGAAACUGGGGCUACUACCGGAUAGGAGCUCCUGCUGCAUGGUGGGGGUUGGAAAGUUUCGGCGGUUGGGGAUGGACUCGCGGCUUAUCAGCUUGUUGGUGGGGUAGUGGCUUACCAAGGCUUUGACGGGUAGCCGGCCUGAGAGGGUGACCGGCCACAUUGGGACUGAGAUACGGACCAGACUCCUACGGGAGGCAGCAGUGGGGAAUAUUGCACAAUGGGCGGAAGCCUGAUGCAGCAACGCCGCGGGCGGGAUGACGGCCUUCGGGUUGUAAACCGCUUUCGCCUGUGACGAAGCGUGAGUGACGGUAAUGGGUAAAGAAGCACCGGCUAACUACGUG